rnacentral:tRNA from 1 species
UGGGAUAUUGCUAAGCGGCUAAGGCACCGGCCUUUGAUGCCGGCCACUGUUGGUUUGAAUCCAACUAUCCCAG